rnacentral:rRNA from 1 species
GACGAACGCUGGCGGCGUGCUUAACACAUGCAAGUCGAACGGAAAGGCCCUGCUUUUGUGGGGUGCUCGAGUGGCGAACGGGUGAGUAACACGUGAGUAACCUGCCCUUGACUUUGGGAUAACUUCAGGAAACUGGGGCUAAUACCAGAUAGGAGCUCCUGCUACAUGGUGGGGGUUGGAAAGUUUCGGCGGUUGGGGAUGGACUCGCGGCUUAUCAGCUUGUUGGUGGGGUAGUGGCUUACCAAGGCUUUGACGGGUAGCCGGCCUGAGAGGGUGACCGGCCACAUUGGGACUGAGAUACGGCCCAGACUCCUACGGGAGGCAGCAGUGGGGAAUAUUGCACAAUGGGCGGAAGCCUGAUGCAGCAACGCCGCGUGCGGGAUGACGGCCUUCGGGUUGUAAACCGCUUUCGCCUGUGACGAAGCGUGAGUGACGGUAAUGGGUAAAGAAGCACCGGCUAACUACGUG